rnacentral:lncRNA from 1 species
GUAUAGUGAAACCCCAAAACCAUAAACAAAUCAAAAUCGCACAGGACAGCUCCCAUGGAGGCCAAAGCCAAGGCUACACCGCGGCCAAAACUUCGACUGUAACGUCGGCGAGAACGAAAGUGGAGGGACCGUCGAAGUCUGCGAAGAAUGCUCCGGUUAAGGCUGUGAAGAAAGCCCCUGUUAACGCUUCGAAGAAGCCAAAGAGCAUAAGACCGCCGGUGAACAAGGCCAAGAAGUGAGGGAUCGAUGCGUUUGGCAGGUGGGUUUCUGUAAACUUGUGGAUAAACUAGGGUUUGUUAACGCAUCUUCCGUCAUCAAACAAGAAACUAGAAGAAUUUUAGUGCAACGCGAAAAAUAGAUGGAGUUAAAUUGGAUUAUCUAUAGCUAUAAUUCAGGGGUGAGUGAUGGAUAUUAAUAGAAAAGAUUACAGGGCAUGUUUAUGGACAAGGUUUUGGACGUUGAUGGGAGUGCAAAAGCUUGUCCCAUUGAAGAUUUCCCUUGCUGCAAACCUGUUUACUGCAUCGGUGUGGUGAGCUCCAUCCCAAAAUACAUGGCCGUUUCUGUCCUGGCAAGGGGUUUUAUUUGGAAUGCAAGUUCCAGUUUUCUCGCUAAUAACACAACAUGGAAUUCUUGAAUCAUUGAACCCUGUAUCAAAAAAUAAGCAACAAAAUGAAAUGAUUAUUACCAUUACUUUUCAUGAAAGACCAAUCUAAAGAAUUUGAUCAAUGUCUGAGAUCCACCAUUGCGAGAAGGAUUUUCCACAAGGCCAUGCACUAAGUUGAAGGUUUUCACAAGAACAAAGGUGGAGUGUUGGAGUGAGGAAGUGAGCUGAUUGAUGUUAGAAGCAAGCUUUGCAUUGAAGAUGGAUACUAAAUCAUUUGGUUUCUCUACGCAUCGGGUCUUUGUUCCAGCAUUUUCUAGUGCAACAGUUGGUAAACAACCAAUUGGACCGAUCUCAAACACUACAAAAUUCCUGCCACCCAGACGGUACAUCUCCUGAAAAUCUCAGCAAAUGCAUUAUAGUUUUUUAGAUAUCAACCUUUUUUUUUAUUUACAAUCAUAUGUCUAAACCGGAAGAUGGCUUUAGAUUACCCGCAAAUGAUUUCCCAAUUCGUUCAGGAGGAGUUCAGCAAAUUGCUCAGGAUUGUAUAAGCGACUGCUGUUGGAGAAUUGAGGCAGAAGAUAAUUCAUUGCAUAGUCAUUACUGCCAAUGAGAACCAAGAAAAUAGAGCUUGACAAGUGACGUGAGAUUGCUUCUGGGGUUUUCAGGUGCUGAGGAAGGAUUGUAUCCACGGUUUUUCUGAACAACCUCACCUGCUCUGUCAAGUUCAAGUUGGAGCCCUGCAUGGAUUUUCAUUCACAAUUUUGCAGGUAGGAAAUUUGAAAACACAAACAAGGUUGAAAGCAAAUGCUGUGUUACCACAAUGGUGCCUGUCUCAGGAAGGAUGCCAGCUGAGGCUGAUGCAUAGUUAUAUCCUCUGGGGCUUUUUCCGGUAGCUGCCAUUGGCCCCAAGAAUGGAGGUGGUUGAUUUAUAUUGAGAAAUUGAGCUGCAUUUCAAAUCAUUAAUUUAAUUUUACCAGAGUGUCAAUAUAUUAAACCGUCCACCUUGAACAUACCCAAGUAAUCAGCAAUGGUGAGGCCGUUUGUGAAUCUGCCUGUGGUUCCCUUUGGGUAAUCAAUACCAUAUGGUGGAUAAUUGGCUUUUGCGAGUGUGUCUUUGUCGUUGUUGUUGCCAUUGUCCAGAUCGGAGUCGCCAAAUAUGUACAAAGCUGCAACAUGUUUGGCUUGUGAUUUUGUCAAGAAGGAGAGACAAAGGAGGAGAAAUGAGAGUUGGAAGAAGGGCUUUGUUGCCAUGGUUACUCCUUUCUUUCAUCAGGAAAAGAAAGAAAGAACGAUGGUGGAUAGGGGGGGGCUUUUCAAGUGGUUGGUUUGGAAAGGGAGAGCAGUGAAUUCGGGUCUUAAUGAUAGGUGCUUGAAACAGACAAGUUAUUUGAACCAUUAAUCAUGACCGGGUACAUAGCCAUUUUAAACGGUAGGCUACAUGUAAUGGGUAUAAUCCACUUUUUAUUUUGUAAUUUUGUAUCAUCGAUGUGUUUAAUUAGAAGUAUACCCUCAAGUUAUUUGCAGAAUACCAACAGAAAUUUCACAUAGAUCUGUAUGUACAUAUUUAUAUUCAUCUCAUAAGAUCCAAACUCCAGCAGCCAUUGGGUUGUUCAAACUCCAUUACAUGAUUUUGCUGUCAGUGAAAGAAAACCAUAUCAAGGCAUUUUUCAAAACAGAGGAAUUAACCAGCUCGCAGCCUGAUCAUAACCAUGGCCAAAAUCAGAAAGUUGGUUUGAUGAGCUAGGCCAUGGUCGUAUUACUUCCCUUGGUACUACCAUUUACUUUCAAGUUUUCGAUUUUCUGAAUAGAUGUUCUGAGCUCCAGUUGAAGGCUCACUCUGGAAGGUGACAGAACAAUGUCUUUCCAAACCGAACCCUCUUCAUGUACGAGGUUUGGCUGCUUGUAAAGCUCAUAGAUGUUCUCUGCAUCUUCAUUUGAAGUGCUGAUUACUGUCAAACAUUUGAUUGCUUCAGGAUCAACCAGUAGCUUGUUGCCUCCCUCUUUCCAUGCUAUCAACUGCAUUUAUCAUACUAAUCAAGUUAGUAGACCACACUACAGACAAUCACGAAUUCAAGCACUGGUAGAUAUGUAUUAAAACCGAAAGUAUGAGAUCAAGCAUUACCGCGGGUGGCCUGCCCAUGGCAUUGGAGCAAUAUAGCCUGACAUUAUCGACAAGUUGGCAGUAACUCUGAAAGUUGCUUGCAAAUCUCUUGUGGGAUUUCACUUGCUCAUUCACCCUCACUGCUCUUCUUGUCUCUAUGGCUCUCCUAUUAGUUGACAUUAUUACUCUUUCAAUAUUACCUACACAACCCUGUUCCCCUUAACAUAAAAAUGUUACAAGAAAUUUUACCUGAUGCCUCUGACAACUGCUAGAAAAGGAUCACAGACCACUCCAACCAACUCUAUUCUGUAUGGUUUCCUUGCUACUUGUCCAUUUUCUUUUUGUUGCUCCUCUUCUUCUUCAAGUGGUACCUCUUCCCAAUAAUUUUCAGUGACAGUUCCAUCCUCCGCCACGUCGUAGCCAACCCCCAUUCGAUAACGGCGUUUAUGAACAUUCCUAGCCAUGGCAAUUGUUUGCUGGACAAAGGGCUCCCAUGAUAAGGUGCCAUCCAUGACUACAUCACGGCCUUCAUUCAGUGCAGCCACAAGGAGUGAUGAUGCUGCAUUAGUAGACGAUUGGUGCACCUAUUUUUGAGUAAAUUUGUCAAUGUUUCAGAAUAUUGUGAUCUAGACAAAAAGUACAUAUGACUGCAUAGGUAAAAAAUUUGUAGGCACUGGGCUCUUUUAUAUAAGAAUGUGUGUGUGAAUUAAUUAAAGAGAGUACCAGCUCAGCAGUUUGAAGCAUGUCAUGGCGAUGAGAGCUAAGGGCUCUGUAAAUGACAUCGGUCUCUUUGAAAGCAUCUGCCUCCACUACCACACAGUUUGCUUCUGCUCCUGACCAGAAUGCGCUGCCAAUCAUACAUCCAAUAUAAGCUCAGGGAUCAUUGUUGUAAAACUGAGAAUAUAAUAAAAGAGUGGAAGUGAGAGUACUCUUUCAUAAUCUCCUUGAGGACGGUGCUCUUGCCGGCACCCAUCCCACCACCCAUGAGGAGGAGCACUGGGCUCCUCUCACUGAGGGCCACCGGCAUCAUCACCUCUGUGCAACCACUAGAUCGCGCCACCCCUAUGGCUUUCAUCUCCUCCAACAGUGUAUGGAACACCCUCUUCACUUUCAAGUCCUUCGUCACCUUCUCAAACCUCUGUUUCCUGUCAACAACCCAUACAAAGAAAGAUGACAACAACAAUAAUCAUGUAUGGAAACAGUAGAGUGAGUAGGAGAGCUGGAGAGGUGUAUAAAUGACUCUUAAUUUUGCAAUUAUUGACAUGGAAUGAUUUGAAAUGAUAGAUUUGUCCACCUAACAAUCAGAUCAGUUGUGACAUGACCUGGGCUCAGUGUGACUCUUUACCAAAAAAAAAAAAAAAAAAAAAGAAGAAAAGAAAGUGACAUCUUUUUCAUAAUUUUAAUAAAUGGGGAAGCCAAUAUUUUUUUAAUUCUUUUAUAAUAUUAAUAAAGAAUAUUUGAAAUAUGAUUCACAAGUAUUUGUCAAUGUCAGCAAAUUUGUAAGAAAGCAAAUUAUUUAACUAAAAAUAACUUGUGUGGAUGUCAAUAAUUGAAAGUGCUUUCAUAAAAAUAAAAUAAAAAUUGAAACACAUUUGAAAAUCAAAAAGUCGUUUCAAAAAACAAAAUAUACAAAUUAUUUAACUAAAAAUAACUUGUGUGGAUGUCAAUAAUUGAAAGUGCUUUCAUAAAAAUAAAAUAAAAAUUGAAACACAUUUGAAAAUCAAAAAGUCGUUUCAAAAAACAAAAUAUAGUAUUUUCAGUUUUUAAAAAUAGAAAACAAAAUACUUUUAUAUAUUAUCUUUUAAUUAUUUUUAUUUAAUUAUAAUAUAUAAAAUAAUUAAAAAUAAAGCAUCCCAUAUAAAUUAUAUUUUUAAAAUAUAUUUUAAAAUAUUAAAAACAGAUUAAAAACAUUCCCAAAUCAACCUCAAGGUUUCAAAAAUUGUCAAUUAUUUUUAAAAAUAAUUUUAUGUUUUUUAGAAAAAAAACAAAAUAAAAGAAUUUUUUUUUGACAAAUAUAAAAUAGAAAAAUAGAAAAACAUGAUGUUUUAGAGAAAAUUUUCUUAUUUAUUUUUACUUGUUUUUUUUUAAAAUAUAUUUUAAAAAAUAAUUACGAAUAAUUGAGAAAAAAAAAAGUAGCACAUCUGAAACUAUCGUCUAAAAGUGUUUUGGAAAUUAAAAUGCUGCUCAGACAUGAGUGUAAAGGAUUCACCAUAAAGGGGAGGACUAAACAAGGAAUAAAGGAUGCCCUCGAGAAGAUGCUUUAGCUAAGAGAUAGAAAAGGAUAAAUGCAAUGGUCAUCAUGGUCAUCACAUGACUUUAGCUCAAUUAUAAUAUCUACAUGUCAUCUUCUUCAAGAGACGAAGACCAGCAACCCAUCUUUAAAGAAGACAAAUUGAAUUGAACUAGCUGGUUGAUUAGUACCUUUACCUUGUAGCUGCCAUCACAAAGUCCUUGAGCUUCGUCUUCUGCUCAUCAGACUCUACACUCAGCACCUGCAACUCACCCCCCAAAACAACAACAUCAAUCACUGCUCAGAAUCCAUAAGAGGAAGCCCAGAAAAAAAAAAAAAAAAUUGAUGCUCUGUCUGUCUUUGUUUUGAAUUAUGCACCUGAUUGAUCAUAAAAGAAGCUUGGGUCCAGUGAAAUGCAAAAUAACUAAGGAAACACCUCUCAAACUCCUCUACCAGUUUUAUGUAGAGAGACUUUGCGUCUGGUAGGCUUGAAAAGUACUCAUAGAUGUUUUGAUUGCACCCUUUUGAUUUCUUGAGAUAGUCAUAAGCUAAUUUGCAGAACCGGGGACACUCAUCUGGGUCUGGAAAUCCCAUUUGCCUAGCUGCAUACCAGACGGUUAUGUGUAUUUGACAAAUUAAGUAAGCUUCUUCAGGCUAAGGUAGUUGUGGUUUUAUCUUUAUCUUUAUCUUUAUCUUUACCUACGUAAUGGGCGAACCUUUCAAUCUUUCCGACACGGCCGGACCCGGUUCUCACCAGGCGUGGAGCAAAACUCAGAUCGUUCUCCGGGUUAAUCUUCCGCCGGCGGUAAUGGAUGGCUGCCUUGACCGUCAAUCCCAGAGAUGAAGCCAAAAGGAGUGUGAGAAUAACUUUGCCGUGAACAUCUGCAACAAGUAAAGAAGUUAAGGUCACUAUCAGUGGUUUAAGAUCAGAUGGACUAAAAGAGAAAGAGAGAGAAAGAGCUGGAGAGGUCGGAUUACCUAGCUGCUGCAUCUUGAAAAGGAUUCUAAGGGGAGGAUAUUGAAGGAAGGCAUGAGGCUUUGGUUUCAUUUAUAGCCCAACAUUACUUUUUGGUCUCUCAAGGGGCCUUGAUUCACCUAGCACACAAAGAAGCGAGGAUUUUUUAUAAGAGCACGGCAGUUUUUAAAAAUAAUACCUAAAUUAUCGUGGUAAAAAAAAAAAUUCCAAAUUUACGUAGUUUUGUCCAGCGAAAAGAGAGAAGAAAUUUAUAAAUGAGAAAUCGUCUCUUCAACAGGUGAUUUUCACCAAAAAAAAAAAGAGAAGAGAAAUCGUCUCUUGAAAAGACGAUUUUCACCAAAAAAAAAAGAGUGAGAAAUCGUCUCUUGAAGAGACGAUUUCCACAAAAAAAAAUAAAAUUAAUUCUCACUUUAAAAUUAAAAUAAAAAAUAAAAACAUUUAAGUGGGAAAUCGUCUCUUAAAAAGACAUUUCCAAAAAAUUAAAAAAAAAUAAAUUAAAUUCUCACUUUAAAAUUAAAAAAAAAAAAACAUCUAAGUGGGAAAUCUCCUCUUAAAGAGAAGAUUUCCAUAAAAAUAAAUAAAUAAAUAAAUAAAUUCUCACUUUAAAAUUAAAAAAAAAAACCUUGUGGGAAAUCAUCUCUUUAAGAGACGAUUUCCGGCAAAAGUGAGAAAUUCUCACUUUAAAAUUAAAAAAAAACAAAAAAAAAACCAUGUGGGAAAUCGUCACUUCAAAAGAUGAUUUCUCACAAAAGUCAUCCUCCCCCCAACAAAGCCAAAAGUGAGAAGUUCUCACUUAAAAAACCAAAAACAAAACUUUUAAAUUUUUUUUUUCUAUUUAUACAAUAAUUCGAUUAUUAUAAAUAUAUAUUAUAAAAUUAAUUAUUUUUAUUUACUAAAUUUAAUUUAUAAAUAAUAUACUAAAUUUAAUAUAAGAUAAAUAAUAUUUAUAUAUUGUUUUUUUCUUUCACUUUGGACUUAAAAAAAAAACUAUUAUCAAUUUUAUGUGAAAAUUGAGUUUAAAAAAAUUGUUAUUAAUUUAUUAAAUAAAAAAUAAAAAAACAAAAGCGUCAAAAACGAUUUUAAAAAAAAAAAAACUUUAAAAAUCCAUUUUUCUAUUUCAUAUUAUACUUAUACAAUAAUACAAUUAUUAAAAAUAUAUAUUGUAAAAUUAAUUAAAUUUAGUAUACUAUUUAUAAAUUAAAUUUAAUAAAUAAAAUUAAUUAAUUUUAUAAUAUAUAUUUUUAAUAAUUGUAUUAUUGUAUAAGUAUAAUAUGAAAUAGAAAAAUGGACUUUUAAUUUUUUUUUUAAAAAUCGUUUUUGACGUUUUUGUUUUUUUAUUUAAUAAAUUAAUAACAAUUUUUUUAAACUCAAUUUUCACAUAAAAUUUAUAAUAGUUUUCUUUUUUAAUUCCAAUGAAAGAAAAAAACAAUAUAUAAAUAUUAUUUAUCUUAUAUUAAAUUUAAUAAAUAAAAUUAAUUAAUUUUAUAAUAUAUAUUUAUAAUAAUCGAAUUAUUGUAUAAAUAGAAUAAAGAACAGAUUUUUUUUUUUUUAAAUGUUCUGUUUUUUUUUUAAGCGAGAAUUUUUCACUUUUAGCUUUUGUUGGGGAGGGUGAAAGAGAUGAUUUUUUUUUUUUAUAUUAAAUAGCAUAUUAUUUAUCUUAUAUUAAAUUUAGUAUAUUAUUUAUAAAUUAAAUUUAGUAAAUAAAAAUAAUUAAUUUUAUAAUAUAUAUUUAUAAUAAUCGAAUUAUUGUAUAAAUAGAAUAAAUGAUGGAAAAGAAAAAGGAUUUUUAAAGGUUUUGUUUUUGGUUUUUUAAGUGAGAAUUUCUCACUUUUUGCUUUGUUGGGGGAGGGUGACUUUUGUGAAGAGACGAUUUACCACAGGAUUUUUCUUCUAUUUUUUAUUUUUUAUAAUUUUAAAGUGAGAAUUUCUCACUUUGGUGAAUUUUGUGAAGAGACGAUUUCCCACAUAAGUUUCUUUUUUUAAAAAAAUUUUAAAGUAAGAAUUUUUUUUUUUUUUUUUAAGAGACGAUUUCCACACUUAUCUAUAAAAAAACUUAUCUAACCUCGGGGGAAAAAAGGUCUCCUUAAAUCACCUAAAGAAAUUUAUCAAAAGAAAUAUGAGGAAAGAUGAUUAUCCCACCAAUUAAGGUUUCAACAAACAUCACCCAUGGAAAAGAAAAGUCUGACCAUAAAUAUCAACCACCAUCCUCUCCUUUUUACUCUAUCCACCAGACUUCAAUUUGAAAAGAAAAUGGGGACCUACACCCCCACACUUUAAUUAUGUGGUUGAGUAUAGUAAGGCCAGAAUCCGAUUCUUAGCUCAUGAUGUCAUAUCUCACAUUAUUACUCUUGAUUCAAACUUAGGAACGGUUUUUUCGUAUAUUAGUUUUAGGAUAAGGUUGGGAUAAACAUAAAUGGAUUUAAUACAAGUUUGAGAAAUUUGUUAGGACUCAGGUAUAAUUUUAUUUUUAUUCACCUUUAAUAGGAUGAAGUUAGGAUAAAUAUAAACAGAUUUAGAAUAGGUUUUAGUAUUCUUUUAACUUGCUCCAAUUAUAUAUAAUAUUAAAUAAAAAUUUAUUUUUAAAUUUUUAUUUUUUUAAUAUGUAUAAUAUUAAUUUAGUUAUAAAUUAUAUUUAUUUUAAUAAAACUUAAUAUUUUAAAAGUAAAUUUAAAAAAUAUAUAUAUAAAAAUUGAAAGAAAAUUAAAAUAAUUAAAUGAGACACAACAUCACAUAUAUGAGAAUUUUUUAUACUUAUCUCGUUUUUUAUUUAAUUUUUAACGAAUAUAAAAAUUGACUUUAAUAAACAAGAUAGGAUUCCAAUAACGUAGGUCCCAAAACGUUGCAAACCCAAACCAUAUUCAAAGUUCAGAUCAUCACACCCAUAAGCCAUGUGAUAAAGAAUCAUCCAACCCAUAUUUUAUAUAUCAAAUCAGCUUUUUCUUUAUUAAGUGGACCAACCAUGUAAUUAUUCCAACUUUAUUUUUGACCUUUUCAAUAUUUCAUAACUUAUAUCAUAUUCUUUAGCUUUGGUUGCUUCUCAUUUAAAACAGCAAUUAAAUUUAAUUUUUUUUGUUAAUUAUUUACCGCGAGGAGAAAAUUGGGUAUUUUCUUGAAAAAAAAAGUACUAAAUUUCAAGAAAAUCAAAUAUAAUUUUGACCAAACGAUGAGAGAAAGGAAAAGGUUUUAUUCUCAAAUUUUUAAAAAUAGUUUUUAACUAUAAAAAAGUCAAAUCAUUUGAUUUAUUAAGAGGAUUGUACAUUGUAAAUAGUGAAGAUAAAUUUGUAAAGUUCUUUAAUUAUUAUUUAUUGUCAAAUCAUAAAGAAAGAAUUGUACGACUAAAUCGAAAAAAUCAAUCAACUAGGAUCUGUUUGGAUGGUAGCAAUUCGAUGCGGACAAGGAUAUAAUCACAUGACGAACAAGGAUUUGAAAAAUGUUGCCAGGAAUAAAAGGAAAUCGAAAGAAAGACAUGGGAAUUUGGGCUUAAGUGCACCAACGCACCCGAUAGUGAUGACAGUCUAUGUAGAAUGUCUACUACGUAGUUCAAGUCAUCUUAUACGAAUGAUAGUCAUGUAAAUAAUAUAAAUUCAAAUUCUAUAUCAUUAUUAAACUAUAUUUUUAUUUAUAAACUAUAGGAUAAAUAUAAAAUAAAUGGAUGAUGAUUGUUUCAAUAAUUAAUGUCAUGAUAAAUUUUAUGCAUAAUUAAAAAAAUAUAAAUUAUUUUUUUUAAAAGAUAAUAUUUUUAGUAAAUAAAAUAAAAUAAUAAAUAGGACUAUUUUAAUACAUUUAUAAGUCAUGUUUGUUAUUUAAAUAUAAAUAAUAAUAUUUUCAUAUAUGUUAAAUACUAAAGAUAUUUUAUUUUAAUUUAUUACAAACUAAGUAAUAUUUUUAAAAUCGUACUCAUUAUUGAAUCGAAAAAGUUAUCGAUUCACAGUUCAAUGAUGGGACCGACACUCGAACGGACACUCAAACGGUGGUCGAACCGAUGACAUCAUAAAAUAUAUAAUUUAUAUAUUAUUAAAAUAAUAAUAAUAAUAAUAAUAAUAAUAAUAAUUUAUAUAUUAUUUUAAAAUUAACAUUUUAUUUGAAAAAUCAGAAAAUUAAUUUCAAAUUAAAAUUUUGAAUUAAAACCGGAAUUUUAAUUUUAAUUUUGAAAUUUUAAAAUUUAUUUUUAAAUCAAAAACUUAUUUUAUAAUCAUAAAUUUAUUUAAAAUUAUAAUAUUUUCAUUCAUUUAAAUUAAAAUCACUAGUUUUAAAAAUCAUGAAGUAAAAAAAAUAAUAAAUAUAAAAUAAAAUAAAUAAUAAUGUUGAUGGAGUAAAAAAAAAUUGGAAAAGGCGGCCAAAAAGGUGGGAAAAUCUCGUAUCUUCCUUAAGAAGGAAGGGUUUUGGGGGCAUCGAAAAAGGGGAAAAAUCUGGUGGGGAAGGGUGAGGAAGAAUGAAGGGUUUUGGCACCAAAAAAGGAAAAAAAAUUGGGUGGGGGCACUGCGAGGGGCUAGGAAGAAGGAUGGGUUGUAGGGAGUGGCGGCGCUGAGGUGGGUUGAAUUGGAUGGGGGAGGAGAACUGUUCAGUUCACCCCCGAAAUUGACCGGGUCAUCCGGUUCACUGGUUUGAUCAUCGGUUCCGACAAUCCGACGCUGGUUCAAAGGCUCCCAACUCAAAUGGCCAAACCAAUCGGUUUAAUCUGAUUUUUAAAACAAUGAAAAUAAAUAUAAUUCUUUUAAAAAAUAAAAAUAACUAUUUUUUUUCGUUACAUGUAUAAAUAAGUCCUCAAUUACUAUCGUGAUAUUUUGACUGGUUUUGUUUAAAUUCUCUAAAUUAUUGGUAUAACUUUUUAAUUUUGAAUUAUUUUUAAAAAUUAUUAAUGAAUCAAAUAUGUUAAGCUUUAUAUGAUUUUAAGUUUGUUUGCCUCCUUGAAAACUAGAAGAAAUAUUAUUGUAUGUUGAGGAAAAAUUGAUAUAAUCAUUUUGAAUUAAUUUUGAUUCGAGAAAUUUUAGUAUUAAUUGGUUCAAAUUUUGAGUUUUAAAUAUUUUUAAAAAUUAUUACACAUUUUAAAAAUUCAAUACAUUAAAUCUUAUUUCAUUUAGAGUCCUUUUACCUAAUAAGAAAAUUUAAGAAAUUUUACGAACUCAUUGGACGAAUUACAUUUUUUCCGAUAGAAUAAAUAGUACAUGUCUAAAAAUGGGGUGACACAGGCUUAAAUAAGGGUUGAUAUAUGUGUAAAUAAAGAGUAGCACACUUCCAUACAUUUUCUUAAAUUUUCUCAAAAUUUUUCACCAAAAUUUCAUGCACCAAAAUUGGUUUCGAAGAAAAACUAAUACAAUUAUUCUUGAAUAGUUUUGUUCCAAGAUAUUCAGUGUUAAUAGGCUUAGUUUUCUGUAGACCCCCAUUUGGGUGUCAUUUUCUACAGCCAUUUUUGCCAAGUGUCGCAAUCCCAUAGGGCCACGUGUCGCCUUGUGGUUGGUGGUCAUAGAAGCAGAUGGUGGAAUGGAGGAGCAAGUGAGAGUUUGACACGUGGCAUGGAGAUAUUUUGGCCGUUAGGAGGAGCGUAUAUUUUCUGUUAGAGGGGAUUUUUGCAGGGCAGGUCGGCUGGCCAGAGGGAGGGUGCUUUUCAGAAGCUGCUGCAGGGUAGUGAGGGAAGAGGAGCUUUUGUUCGGUUAGAGGGGCUUCAGAGAGGAAAGGAAAAAGGAAGGGAGAGAAGGAGGAGAGAAAGAAACAGAGCAUGUUUCUGGAGAGGGGGUGCUGAUUUUGCAAGGAGCAAGCUAAAGGAGAGAGGUUUUUCAGGGAGUCUCGGCAAGAGCUAUUGAGGAGAAGCAGCAUAUAUACUUACCAUCAUUUUCCUAGUUCCGGUAUGAUUUCAACUUGCUUUACACUUCCUACCUCGAACUGUUUUCCUCAGCUUCUUGUUAUGUAUGGUUCCUCUUGAUGCUUGAAGACCAUUUGUGCAUCUUCCUGUUCUGGAAUGUUUUGAGUAUAGAUCCAUCGCUGUUUUUAGUUCACUUUAUUUUAUUUUUAUUUCUUUUGAGAUCAUGCCCAUGUUUCCUUUUGGUUCCACCUAUACCCCUCUCAUUGACGUUUAUGGAGUGGGUUGAGACUUAACAGUUUUCUUGUUAUAUCUAUGCAUGCUCUGUUUUCUUUUCAUCUUUUUCGUUUAGUUUUUUUUGGGGAUGUUGAGUAUCACAUUUGUACUGGUCAUCUGGGUUGAGAUGUUUCUGGAAAAGCUCAGGUUCGUUCCAUAGAUGCAGCUGCAUGAGAAAUUAAGCAAUGGAUUCUUAUGGAAGCAAUAAGCUACAGCCCAGUGUUGCUUAGUACCCAGAGUAAAUGUCUCUCGCGUUUAUUUAUCAUUGGGAGUCCUUGGGAGAGAUUGCUCCUAGAUGUCACAAGAGGAUCCCAGUUCUACGCCUCUGUGGAAGGAAACCUUAAAUGUGAUAAUAUGGUUCGUAUCUGAAACUAAGUAUGGGAAAUGAUUGUUUCUAUAAUCGUAUAUAAAUUGGGCGCCAAAGGAUGAUAUCCAGACCAUCGCCUGGUUAGUAAGUGACCUUCACAGGAUUUAAAGAUUAAACAAGCUUUGCCAGAUGGGGGAAUAUUUCAAGAUCAGAAGCAAUUUUCGAUGGAUGAAGGUGAUAUCGUGAAAGGUUCCUCAUGAAAAUAUCUUCAAAAAUCAUAGAUCCCAGAAGUCAAACGGGAAGAAUUCUGGAUCCUGUACGCUUGAGACUGUCCCUGGAAGAAAGUGGAAUGUGGAUGGAGGGCAUGAAAUACCAUGAUGCAUUCCCGUUCUCAAUCAUGGGCCCACAUGCAUAAUUGCAAUUUGCGUGGCCGUUUUCCCUCCCACUGCUUUUUCAACCAUCCUAUAUCCUCCCAUGUACACAUAGCCCAUGCACACAACCCCUAUGAUCCUUCUCAGGCCUCCUUAUAAGAUUCAUACCACCACCUGUCCCAUUAAUCUCAUACCCAUUGAUCAUCUCUCUAUACUCACAUCAAACCCCACAUUCCAUACCCCACCAUACUCGUCCUUCAUAACCCAUUUCUAGACCCAUUAAUACCCUCACAUGUCAACCACUGCCCUUCACUCACUAUCCCACAUGCACGCCCAUUAUUUCCCCACGUCAUCACCUUUCCAUCAUGCUUCGUGUCAAUACCCUUCAUACCCCUAUCCCACUACCCAUUCCAUUAAUUCCAUGUCCAUACCCGUCUUCGUAUUCCUGUCACCACCAUCCUACAUCUACAUUCUUCACGCUGGUCAAGUUCAUUACUUCCCCAUCCCUCGUGCUCACUGAAGUUGUCAUUAAACCCAUUGUUCUCUUCCACCUCCUUCAUUCUUGAACUCUCUCUAUCUCCUUUUGCUAUGAAGACGGAGCUACCGAGGGAACAGAUCAGAAUGUUAAUGGCAGAUGCCUCGGAAAAAUCAGCGCAUGCUAGCGCAAGCAGUUCCUCUUUGCAGUCGUCGUCAACGCCCUUCUCUAUGGUCAUCACCAACACAGAGAUGAAACAUGAUGGCGUGAGAGUGAUCAAUCUCAACCAUGGAGACCUGACAACGCAUGAGAGGUUUUUGGUUACUAAAGUGUACUGUGUUCUGCGUGCUGUGAAGUUUCUUGGAAAUCCUGAUGAUGGUGGAAGUAUAGUUCGGGGUUUACGGAUUUCUACCAUGUUCACUCAUCACCUGAGGAUUGUUGUGGUGGGCCGCGAGAUGCUCAGUGGAGUUUCAGGAAUGGAGGAUCCCUGGAAGAGCAAAACUCGGUCUCUAUAGUUUCGGUUCCGAGACUGCUUCCGAAUCACCGUCAAUCGUCAUUGCCGCCAUUGCUACUCAUUGCAAGAAUAUGACGGGGCUUGACAUACAGGAGAAUGGCAUUGAUGACCUUGGUGGGGGUUGGUUAAGUUGCUUUCCCGAAAACUUCACGUCACUAGAAGUGCCGAAUUUUGUGAAUCUGAGCAGUGAUGUCUCUUUUGAUGCUUUUGAGAAACUAGUGAGUAGGUGCAGAUCUUUAAAAUUCUUGAAGGUUAACAAGAAUAUCACCCUGGAACAAUUACAGAGGUUGCUUGAGUGUGCUCCUCAACUGACAGAGCUUGGUACUGGGUCCUUCCAUCAAGAGCUCACAACCCACCAGUAUGCAGAGCUUGAAAGUGCAUUCAACAACUGCAAGAAUCUAAAUACUCUCUCUGGUUUGUGGGAAGCUACUCCACUGUAUCUCUCAGUUCUAUACCCUGCCUGCAUGAAUUUGACGUUCUUGAAUUUGAGUGAUGUUGCUCUGCAAAGUGGUGAACUUGCUAAGCUUCUUGCCCACUGUCCAAAUCUACAGCGCCUUUGGGUUCUGGAUACAGUAGAAGACAAAGGGCUGGAAGCUGUUGGAUCUAGCUGUCCUUUGCUCGAGGAACUACGUGUCUUCCCUGCUGAUCCAUAUGAGCAGGAUGUUGUCUAUGGGGUGAUUGAGAUGGGUAAUGACGUCUUUUCUAUGUUACGCUCCAUGCUCACGGACAUGCUCGUGCCGAGACUAAAAGGUUGCUUCGAGAUCAGCAAGCAAAACGACAUGAAAUAAAUGAUUUGAUGAAGCAAGUUGAAGAUAAACUGCUUAGGAAAAGCAGUGAGGAAUAGGACCGAGUCAAUUCUGCAGUUCAGUCUAUUUGAUGCACCAUCCAGACUCACUGAGUCACGUGACCAGUUAGAAAAGCACCUGGAAUUCCCAAUGGCUCCACUCGGAACUUGGACUUGUUGGUAUGGGACCUGCAGGCAGUGUCUAUCAGAAGCCUUAGCAUGCACAAGUCAACUGGGUCCUAUCCCUACCAGGCCAUGCAUUGGCCAUCUUUAGUAUGGGCCACCUUUGGGCCACGUGACAUUCUUGGUUUUCUUUUUAUUUGAUUUUGAAAAAGGUUUUCUCAAACCCCAUUUUGUAAAUAUCUUUCUCAAAAUUCUGAUUUUCAAGUAAUUCCAAUUUUCUCAUCUUUCAUCCUUAGAAUUUUCAGGAUCACCUAAGAGUCUCAAUUUCAAUAAAAUUUGGCCGCCAUUUUCUUUUCGGCGAGCAGCUUUCGAAUUUUUCAUGAUUUUAAAAUGAUUUAAAAUAAGCUAGAAUAAAAUUCCGUAAUUCCAAGCAGGGGAAUUUAUGGAAUUAAUUCAUGCAAAAAUGAAUUGGGUCUUGGUGGGGGCCCUACAUAUGAGAUUCCAUGAUUGAUUGAUUUAUUUGUCAUGCAUGAUUGAUUUACUCUAUUCCUUGAUAUGUGCUUAAUUAUAUAUGUUCAUUGUUCACUAACCAUGUUUCAUGAUAGCGCAUUUGUGAUUGCCGCCCAAGUACGCAUCUAUUCAUAUUUUGUUCAUUCUUUAUACAUGCUUUGUUUCUCAUAUGUGCAUGAUUGAUUCGAGUAUUUAUUGAUUUUCUCAUUGAUUGCCAUGUCAGCUUCAUCUCAUUAGUAGAGACCCGAUUUUAGGGACUUAGAGGGGUGCCACGGUUUUUACCGUACCUUCCCGAUAAGUAACCUGACCCCCGAACCCGAUUCGGUUUUUCACAUACCACCUUUUCCAAAACAAGGAGUCACACUUAGGGUUUUUCUUUCUUAUUUUGUUUACCCUUUAAAAAUAAAACAAAAAUAAGUGGCGACUCCAAGUCAUUUUCAAAUAAUCAAUAAAAAUCAUUUUUCAAAUAAAAAACGAGUUUCGCCAUCGAGUGGGAAAUGCAUUCGAGCAAUCGAAAAUGCGGGGUCCACAUUUUCAUAUUCUGAAUAAUUUUUGAAAAUUAAUGUACAUGUGAAAGAAAUGUGUUAAGUCUCACUUCAGUUGGAGUUUAUUUAUCUCGUGAUUUUUUUAUUUUUUAUUUUGAAAAAAUUAACCUAGAUAUUGAAAAGAAAAAAUUUAAAACUUUUAUGGGGAUUUCAUAUAUAAAAAAUAUUGAAGCUUCUUAAAUUAUAUGUAUUUCAGUCUUGUGCUUAAAUAUAAAAUAGUCAAAUUAAGAUAGGCUUGAAGCCAUCAAAGAUAUCACAAUCAAUUUGUCAACCAUCUUAUAGUUACCCAAAAAUAAUUAUUAAGUAUGGAAACGUGGUACCAUUGGAUCUUAAUAAUUGUGGCCAUGGCCCAAUAUUGGAACACGACUUUGAAAGUUGAAAAUGAGGAGUUAUGAAUUGUUAUCCAAAUCCCUCUCUUUUUAUAAAUUCUCCAAGCUAAUUAUGUGAAACAAAAAUUAAUUUAAUUUUAAUAUUUUUCAUCAUGAAAUUAUUAUUAAUAUAUCUUAUAUUAUUAAAAAAAUUAUUUUUUGGAAAUUAUAUUUUCUUAAAGAGGAGAAAAAAAAAAAAAUAGAAAGAAGAGAAAAGUAAAAUAUAAAUUUUAACAUAUUUUUUUUAAAGAAAUUUAUAUGAAGAUUUAUCUUUCACUUUCUCGUACUUUAAUUUUUUUUUAUUAAACAAUUAAAAAAAUUUAAACUUAAGUUAGUUUGCUCUUUCCUUUUCUAAUUUUUUUUUCCCAUUAUUUCAAGAUUCUAGUAAACCAAGCUUAAAAAUUGACAUUAUAAUUAUUUUCUAAUUUAAAAAAGUGAAAAUAUCACACCAAUCUAUUUGGGGUUAUUAGAGUAUGAUAUUAGUUUUGUUAAAUUCAUGUGCUAUCCACUAAGAUCUUUGAAAAACAAAAAUUUAGAAAAAUACACUUCAUUCAAAGUUUUUAAAAGACCAAACACACACACAAUCCUAUUUUUCAAGUCUCUAUAUUUAACAUUAGCUAAUUAGAUUUUUUUUUUCUAGAAAUAUUUCAUUUGUUUAUUUUUAAAUGUUUUUUCAGAAUAAAAAGCUGAUCCAACGCCAAUAAGAAUCAAACUUAGGGGUGGACAAUUGGUGUGGGAGGUGGCAUAUGGAUGGUGCUCCACUUCCUCCUUCGCUGUGAGUUAGUGGCCAACAUGUUUUCUCAUUGCCUUAGAAAGCUUUAAACAUUGUCACCCUGCACUUGGAGCCCAUUUGGUUUAAUACUUUAAAAUUUUUAUUAUUUAAGUAUUAAAAAUUCUAAAAACACUUUUUAUAAUCACUAACAAUUUGUAUAUGUGGAGAUAACAACGAAACAGGAUUAGGAUAAAGACGUUUAUUCAAAAUAAUUCUCAUCCAUGAUCUAUUUAAAAAAUUAAACGGGAUGGGGCGGGUAUGAGAAAUUCUCAUACCAGCCCCACCCCAUUCAAUUUUUUUAUUUUUUAUUUUUAUAAAAAUUACUUUUAAAUUUUUAAUUAUAUUAAAAGAAAUAUAUUUUAUAAAUAAUUAAAUUAUUAUAUUUUUUAUAACUUAUUUUAUUAAAAAAUAUUUUAUUAUUAUCUAUAUAUUAAAAAUAGUAAAAUAAAAUUUAAUUUAAAAUUUUAAUUUGAUAUAUAAUCAGGGUGGGAUAGGAUUCUUGUGUACUGUGGCGUAUCAUUAAGGGAUUUUCAAGAAUAAGAUAUCUUUUGAAGGAAGUUGUAAAAAAUACAUUUGAAUCAUAAUUCAAAUAUAACGGUUUGAAAACUUGACUGGAAAAAUCCUAUCGAGGGUGGAAGGAACUAUCAUAAAAUUUAGAGUUUCCAUUUUAUCUUCUCUUUUCUAUUUAUUUUAUAAGCAAUUAUUUUAUUAUUAUUAUUUUCUAUAUAAUUGGUUAAAUUGUCUCUUGUGUUUAUCAAAGUUUAUAUAUAUAUUAAAAUUUAUUAAAAAAAGAAUAACAAAGUGAUUAAUAGGCUAAUAGCCAAUUCACCCCCUCUGUGCUGAUGGUUUUUAGGGUUAUGGUUGACAAAAAUGAAUUUGGGAAUUAGGCCGUGUUUGUUUAUUCUGUAUUUUGUUUUUAUUUUCAACGAAAAUAGAAAAUAAGUUGAAGAAUAUACUUGAAUACUUAUUUUUCUAUUUUUAUUGUUUAGAAAAUUAUGUUCAAAAUUUGGUGUUUUCAUUUUUUUAAGAGAGAUGAAUAAAAUAAUUUAAAAUAUAUAAAAGGGAUAUGAAUAUUUACCAAUAAUAUCAUAAUAUUUUUAUUUUCUUUCUAAUUUUUACUAAUAAUUUUAUAUUUUUAUAUUAGAAAGUAAUUUAAUUUAAUAAAUCAAAAUUUGUACAAUUGGUCAAUUCCUUACUUAAUUAUAGAUGAAUUAAAAUUUUCUAUUACACUACUAAAAGUUAUCUAUUUCGCCAUAUAUUAGGAAUAAUCACAUAAUUAAAUUAAAAUCCACAUUGGCUACUUUAUCUUAUAAUUUAAACAUUUUUAAUUCAAUAAAAAUAAGCUGAUUCACUUCAACCCUUUUAAACACCUGACACCUGACUUGCUAUAAUUCAAACAUUUUUAGAUUUAUUUGUAACAUUUCGGUUGAAUGAACAAUAACCUUGAAUUUAUAAUGGAGAAUAAGUAAUUUAAUAUUUAAAAUUAAUUUUAAUUUCGUAUUUUUAUUUGUGCCUAAAACACCUUCAUACAAUUACCUAGAUUACUUAAAAUGACUAAUUUUAUUGACAUCCAUUGAUUUUUGAACAUAUAUAUAUAUAUAUAACCACUAUUAAUUUAAAAUUUUGUUAAAUAAUUUUUCUAUCGGUUUCAUUUUUUAUUAUUUUUACUCAAAAUAAUAAAGAUAUUUGAUAAAAUUUCAAAGCAACGAUUUUAGAUGAACUUGAAGGAAGGUGAGUCAAAUUGAACCAUUAAUUAAAAAGAAUCAGAUGAGAGUAAAAAUUGAAUUUCUUUAUAAAACAAAUGAAAAAUUUAGUGUAAAUUCAUACAUAAAUUGAAAGUGUUCAAAAUGAAAAUACAUUGACAUAAGUAGUAUAGUGAAACCCCAAAACCAAAAACAAAUCAAAAUCGCACAGGACAGCUCCCAUGGAGGCCAAAGCCAAGGCUACACCGCGGCCAAAACUUCGACUGUAACGUCGGCGAGAACGAAAGUGGAGGGACCGUCGAAGUCUGCGAAGAAUGCUCCUGUUAAGGCUGUGAAGAAAGCUCCUGUUAACGCUUCGAAGAAGCCAAAGAGCAUAAGACCGCCGGUGAACAAGGCCAAGAAGUGAGGGAUCGAUGCGUUUGGCAGGUGGGUUUCUGUAAACUUGUGGAUAAACUAGGGUUUGUUAACGCAUCUUCCGUCAUCAAACAAGAAACUAGAAGAAUUUUAGUGCAACGCGCAAAAUAGAUGGAGUGAAAUUGGAUUAUCUAUA